rnacentral:lncRNA from 1 species
GGUUUUACCACAUAAGGCUAAGAACUAUGUGAUCAAUCAAAUUAGACUUUUGGGCCAGGUGCCAUGACUCACAACUGUAAUCGUAAUACUUUGAGAAGCUGAAGCAGGAGGCUUGCUGGAGCCUAGAAAUUUGAGACCAGCCUGGGCAGCAUAGUGAGAUCCAAUCUCUAUAAAAAACAGCAACAAAAAAUUAGCCAAGAGUGGUGGCAUGUACCUGUGGUCCCAGCUACUCAGAAGCUGAGGUAGGAAGAUUGUUUGAGCUUAGGUUGAGGCUACAGUGAGCCAUGAUCACAUUGCUGCUCUUUAGCCUGUCUCAAAAAAAAAAAAAAAAAAAAAAAAGACUUUUAAAGAUUAUUUAAGACGUGGAAAAUGUUCACAAUAUAAUGUUUAAUUUAAAAGGAGCUGGGCACUGAAGAGGGAGGAGGCAGAGAAAGAUGGUGGAAUAGAACUCUCCAGUGAUCAUUGUCCCCAUAGGAACAACAAAUUUAGCAACUAUCCACACAAUAAAGCACCUUUUGGAAAAACAAAAAAUCAGGCUAUUGGUUCAUGGCAGCCAGCAACUACUUGGCUUCUGGUGAGACCCAGGAAGCUUUUACUCAUGGCAGGAGAUGAAGAGGGAGCAGGCAUGUCGCAUGGUGAGAGCAAGAGCAAGAGAGAGAAGAGGAGGUGCCAGGCUCCUUUAAAUAACCAGAUCUUGUGUGAACUCAUCACUGCACUCACAACACCAAGGCAUUCAAGUGGGAUCCAUGACCCAAACACCUCCCACUAGGCCCCACCUCCAACACUGGAAAUCACAUUUCACAUGAAACUUGGAGGGGACAAACAUCCAAACUAUACCAUUUACCUCUGCCCCUCUCCCCCAAAUCUUAUGUCCUUCUCGCAUUGCAGAACACAAUUCUCCCUUCCCAACAGUCUCCAAAAUUCUUAACUGAUUCCAGCAUCAAUUCAAAGUCUAAAGUCCAAAAUUUCAUCUGCGACUCAAGGCAAGUUUCUUUGACUUAUGAGCCUGUAAGAUCAAUAUAAGUUAUUUACAUUCAAGAUACAAUGGUGGCACAGGCAAUGGGUAAACAUUCCCG